rnacentral:rRNA from 1 species
CCUACGGGAGGCAGCAGUGGGGAAUAUUGCGCAAUGGGCGAAAGCCUGACGCAGCGACGCCGCGUGAGGGAUGAAGGUCUUCGGAUCGUAAACCUCUGUCAGCAGGGAAGAACGGUCACUGUGCUAAUCAGCAGUGAAUUGACGGUACCUGAAAAGGAAGCACCGGCUAACCACGUGCCAGCAGCCGCGGUAAUACGGAGGGUGCGAGCGUUAAUCGGAAUUACUGGGCGUAAAGCGCUCGUAGGCGGUAUGUCAAGUCAAGUGUGAAAUCCCCGCGCUCAACGUGGGAACUGCCUUUGAAACUGGCCAACUUGAGUGUGUGAGAGGAUAGUGGAAUUCCAGGUGUAGGAGUGAAAUCCGUAGAUAUCUGGAGGAACAUCAGUGGCGAAGGCGACUAUCUGGCACAUAACUGACGCUGAGGAGCGAAAGCGUGGGUAGCAAACAGGAUUAGAUACCCGGGUAGUC